UGACCUGAGAUCCAAUCUUCACGUCCCUGCCUACUUCGCUUGGCUCGGCGCUAAACUUGCACUCCAGGUAUUCAGUCUUACAUCUCCUUAUUUUGAAAUCCUUAGAUUCGAGAGUCUGUCUCGAUACCUCUACCCUCUCAUUCACACCGACCCUCGUCUCGUCUAUCAAUACUAUGUCAUCAGCAAAUAGCAUACACCAAGGCACAUCCCCUUAAAUAUGACGGAUUAGAGCAUCAAUCACCAAGGCAAACUAGAGAGAGCUACGCGCCGAUCCUUGAUGGAGCCCCAUAACCACCGGAAAAUGAUCUGAGUCACCACCCACUGUCCUAACCCUAGUCUUAGCUCCAU
rnacentral:lncRNA from 1 species